rnacentral:rRNA from 1 species
ACCCUUAGAUGUUCUGGGCCGCACGCGCGCUACACUGAUGAAUUCAACGAGUUUAUAACCUUGGCUGAGAAGCCUGGGUAAUCUUUUAAACGUUCAUCGUGAUGGGGCUAGAUUAUUGCAAUUAUUAAUCUUCAACGAGGAAUUCCUAGUACACGCAAGUCAUCAGCUUGCAUGGAUUACGUCCCUGCCCUUUGUACACACCGCCCGUCGCACCUACCGAUUGAAUGGUCCGGUGAAAACUUUGGACCGUGACUUUGCCUUUCUUUCGGGAAAGCGUUGUCGUGGGAAGUUGUUUAAACCUUAUCAUUUAGAGGAAGGUGAAGUCGUAACA